rnacentral:rRNA from 1 species
AUGGCACCGCCGCGGAUCAGGAGGAGGCUCUGCGGACCUACAUUGUCCAGCUGCACCCACGCGGAUCUUCGAGCACGACUGGCACCUCGCCUUCAUCGUCAAAUCCUUGCCUUCCUCAGUGGAGCAAGAUGCAAAGCGCCAGUGGAAGCCGUCGUCAAGGCUGUUGUACUCUUACCACACCGUGUUCGACGGCUUUGCGGCGCGGCUCACGGUCGGCGAAGCGGCAGCUCUGCGGGCGCUGCAGGGCGUCGCGUCGGUGCGCGAGGACCGCCGGGUCGAGCUGCACACCACGUACUCGUACCGGUUCCUCAGCCUUAA